rnacentral:rRNA from 1 species
GAUGAACGCUAGCGGGAGGCUUAAUACAUGCAAGUCGAGCGGCAAGUUUUGAUAGCAAUAUUGGAACCUAGAGCGGCGCACGGGUGAGUAACGCGUACAUGACCUGCCCUAUACUGGGGGAUAGUCUUGGGAAACUGAGAAUAAUCCCGCAUGUGAUUAGAAUGCUGCAUGGCAAAUUAAUUAAAGCUGAGGCGGUAUAGGAUGGGUGUGCGUCUGAUUAGCUAGUUGGUAGUGUAACGGACUACCAAGGCGAUGAUCAGUAGGGGGCGUGAGAGCGUGAUCCCCCACACGGGUACUGAGACACGGACCCGACUCCUACGGGAGGCAGCAGUAGGGAAUAUUGGUCAAUGGACGGAAGUCUGAACCAGCCAUUCCGCGUGCAGGAAGAAGGUCCUAUGGACUGUAAACUGCUUUUAGCAGAGAAGAAACGCCUUCAUUUAUGAGGGUCUGACGGUAUCUGCGGAAUAAGCACCGGCUAACUCCG